GCAGAGCAGAAGAGCAGUUUUUCCACUGAGGCUGAGAGCAGAGCAGAAGAGCAGUUUUUCCUCUCAGAGGUUCAGAGCAGAAGAGCAGUUUAUCCUCUCAGAGGUUGAGAGCAGAGCAGAAGAGCAGUUUUUCCACUCAGAGGUUGAGAGCAGAGCAGAAGAGCAGUUUUUCCACUCAGAGGUUGAGAGCAGAGCAGAAGAGCAGUUUUUCCACUCAGAGGUUGAGAGCAGAGCAGAAGAGCAGUUUUUCCUCUCAGAGGUUGAGAGCAGAGCAGAAGAGCAGUUUUUCCUCUCAGAGGUUGAGAGCAGAGCACAAGAGCAGUUUUUCCACUCAGAGGUUGAGAGCAGAGCAGAAGAGCAGUUUUUCCUCUCAGAGGUUGAGAGCAGAGCAGAAGAGCAGUUUUUCCUCUCAGAGGUUGAGAGCAGAGCAGAAGAGCAGUUUUUCCUCUCAGACUGAGAGCAGAGCAGAAGAGCAG